UACGUAGGGAGCGAGCGUUGUCCGGAAUGACUGGGCGUAAAGGGCGCGUAGGUGGUCUUUUAAGUUUGGAGUGAAAGUCCUGCUUUCAAGGUGGGAAUUGCUUUGGAUACUGGAAGACUUGAGUGUGGGAGAGGAUAGCGGAAUUCCCGGUGUAGCGGUGAAAUGCGUAGAGAUCGGGAGGAACACCAGUGGCGAAGGCGGCUAUCUGGACCAAGACUGACACUGAGGCG
rnacentral:rRNA from 1 species